rnacentral:lncRNA from 1 species
GGAGUUGAACACGUUUUCGCGUCAAUUAAUGCAUUUUAAUUUAUCAAUUAACACUAUAUUAUUGGGACAAUAAACGAAUGAAGAGACAAACGUCAUUUAUCAAGCAUGUAUUGUAACAUUUCCGUGUUUUGCCAUUUCGUUUCAUUAUCAAAUAACUGACAAUUUAUCGCCCUUUGUAUCAACACGCCAUUUGUAAACAUGAAAGGUCGUGAGAAAGGAAACGUUUAAAUCGUAAUUUGACGAUUAAUUUAAAAGGAAUGACGAAUGUUAUUGCGCGAUUUACAGAUCAACUAUUGAUCAACUACUGAGGAGCACCUGGCAUAUUGGCAUGAUGUAGCAUUAUGACCUUAAACAAGCAAAAAAAAGGAAUUCUCAAGGCAUGUCUACAUACCACAUGUUGGAAGAGUUUGUAGAAUGGCUGAAGGAUGAAAGAAUUUCCAGAAAAAUAAAAUUCUUUAUGAAUUUGUGAAUGGAAAUGAAACUCAAGGACUAAUAUUUGCUGAGCAUCCAGUAGAAAGUAUGCCAAUGGAAUAAAGUGCAACUGUCACAGAAGUGCACAAAAUAAAUAAAAUCUGGAAAUUAGAUCCCUCGGAAGCAUCGAGAACAAGGCAAACAGUGAAAAUUAAGCCAUGUUUUCUGCAAAAGUUCAUCAAGCUGAUUCAAAAUACAAAUGGGAGUCAAGAAAAAAAGUAAAACUAACUGAGCUGUGAGAAAUGUUUGGUAAAAGAAUGGUGGGUUGCCAGAACAGCAGUGAAGUGGUUACAGUAAAACUGUCUGAAUUGUUUAAGCAAUACAGAAUAUUUUUUAAACUUCCCCAUGCAUAAAAUAUCUUGAGUGCUCUUUUUUAUUUAAAUAAUCGUACAGUUUAAAAAAAAUGACAAUAAAUGCUAUUUUUAUUUUUAUAAGAAAAUAGUGCAUUGUUGCCAUGGUAUUAAACAUUAAUCUGACUAUAGAUUAUUGUAAAAACAUCUUUCAUGUUUAUAUGCUCCAUUUGUCAAAAAAUUAAUGUAAGGUCAUAUUCUUUUCUAAGUAAUAACUGCAUUAACAAAACAUUAUGUUAUCAUAUGAAUUUGCCUUGAACUAGCAAGAGUUGUAACUGUGUUGUGUGUAUCAGAAAUUAUGUAUAUCCGAAACAGUAUCACAUUAGUUAACAUGAAAUGAGGUUGUCUUAAUUUUGAAUAUGAAGUAGACAGCUUUCAGUGUAAAUAGUAUUUUGAAAAACACUUUAACAUAUUCAGUUAUUUCAAGAACUUUAUAGAAAUGGUAUUUUUGGUAAGAAAAUACAUCAUUGUUGCCAUGGUAACGACUCACUGAUCAGUAUGACAUCUGUACUUACUAACUUGAGCAAAAUCAGUUUAUAAUAUUUCUAAUAAUUAUAUCUUUUUGCAUGAUUUUCUGUCUAACAGUAACAAAGAAAUAUGCUAAUGAGUUAAGUGUUCUAACAACAAAGUUAAUGUCCUAGUUUUUGUCAUGCUAUCUAACUCGAUAUCUAGUAAAAUCAAUUUUUCUACAAAAAAAAGCCAUUCGAUUUUUGCAAAUAAACUGUUAUCUUUAAACACUGUACACUAGAAAAUGUUCACGGUAUAUUAAAUACACUUUCUAGAUGUUAAUUUUGGCUGGAUUUAUCAAGGAACGAUUAAAAUUGGAUUUAACAACUGUGUUGCUAUGGAAACGGUUUUAGGGGAAAAUAUUUUGUGCUAAUAUGAAAGAAAGAAACAGAAAAAAAUAAUUUUAAUAAACUGCAUGUUGUAUUUGA